GGAACACUAUCAACGACCCUCCAAAAACUGUGGAAAAACUCCACACACAGAUCAAACACUCGUAUCUUGUGAUUUGCUAAGAUCCAGUGUACUACACUCUCCCUUCAGGGACCGGUCCCCGAGAGCUGAAAACCUGCAGAAUGCAGAUUUCACAACUUUAGCUCUCGAAAACCUCCUGUAACUCACUUUUAAUCAUUUUAACACCUUCGGACUUUCCGAAGUGUACCGUCCUCGCACUUUAGUCAAUUUGACUAAAGUUCGACAUUUUCUUAUUUUCUGAAUUUACGGUAUAUUACAUUCUCCAGCCCUUAAAAUAAUUUCGUCCACGAAAUUUCGCAUACCUCAACUCGUCGAUUCGAAUAAAUGCGGAUACUCUCUCCGCAUUGACUCCUCGAGCUCCCAA
rnacentral:lncRNA from 1 species